AUGCAAGAUCAGGUUGGCCUAGACCUGGACGGCUUCCCGCUGGACCACGAGUUUCCGGAGGACUAGGGGCUCGAGGAAGAGGAUGAGUUGGACAUCGACGGGGAGCCUUUGUUUGAGGAUGAGCUCGCCAACCAAGCCGUCAGGGUGAAGCCGAAGCGCAAGAGCAGGCGAACGAAGGCAUACACGACAGCCGAGGACAAGCUCCUUUGUGAGUGUUGGAGGGACAUUGGGCAAGACCCCAAGGUCGGCGCCGAACAAAAGGAAUCAACCUUUUGGAUUCGUGUCCACCGUGAGUACCAUGAGAGCAAGAAGUUUGCGAUGUACCAAAUGUAAAACACGCGCGGGUGGGUGUCCAUUUCGAAGCGAUGA
rnacentral:rRNA from 1 species